UACGGGGGGGGCAAGCGUUGUUCGGAAUUACUGGGCGUAAAGGGCUCGUAGGUGGCCAACUAAGUCAGACGUGAAAUCCCUCGGCUUAACCGGGGAACUGCGUCCGAUACUGGUGGGCUUGAAUCCGGGAGAGGGAUGCGGAAUUCCAGGUGUAGCGGUGAAAUGCGUAGAUAUCUGGAGGAACACCGGUGGCGAAGGCGGCAUCCUGGACCGGCAUUGACGCUGAGGCGCGAAAAGCUAGGGGAGCAAACGGG
rnacentral:rRNA from 1 species